UUCCUUGCUUGCGUCACCACCUUGGGUUCGAAUCCUCACUGCCUUUUAGUUCCAUUCUCUUUUCGAGUACAGUUUCUUGGCAACCACGAAGGGACCCCUCGUGCCCGUGACCCAACUUCAACGCAGAAUGGAUCAGAGAGGGGAUGGUGAAUCCACCUAGCCCGCAAUCCCUCCACAACGCCAUGGACAGCAAGAGCAGCAGCAAUCCUGGCAUCGUGCAGAGCUUACACAAGACCACCCGGACCGUCGUGGAUGGCAAGGUGGUGUCCGAAACCAGCGAUUCCAAGGUCAUCCGCAGCUAGGCCCCGCCACGGGCCUCGUGUGGCGGCCAGUAAAGACUCAAAUGGGAUGAACCACGUCUCCUGUUCUUCCUCUUCCCCUCCUCCUCCGCUGUGUCCACACCUGCCUGUCAUGGCUCGGCAGCUAGACCACUCUGGGUAUGCCUGUUGACUUGGUUUACUCAAGCCAAGACUAGUGGUUUGAUUGACUCAAAUAGCUUGGCUAUUUGACUCAAAUUGAGUAACCAAGGUCUAUGAGCCAAGCAUAUUAUAACAUAUCCUAAACCUGUGAAACUAUCCCCCUGAACUAAUCAUGACCCCUGUCCUGUUAAUCAGUAACAGAUCACCUAGAACAAAUCAGGUCCGGUACUUACUGCUUUCUAUCCUAAAAUAUUUCUCUUAUGUUGUAUUCUUCUGAUCAUUAUGAAUGCUGUACCAACCUUAUAUAAAGAAACUCUGUAUUGUUUGAAGUUGAGCUGGCCUUGAUUAGCAGGGGAAUUUCUCCUGCCCAACCUUCUCUCCCUACUUGUGUUGGAAGAAACAUUAGUAAUAAUGAACUUGUCUCUGACAUACCCUUUUAAAUCCA